AUUGAACGCUGGCGGCAGGCUUAACACAUGCAAGUCGAGCGGGGGAAGGUAGCUUGCUACCGGACCUAGCGGCGGACGGGUGAGUAAUGCUUAGGAAUCUGCCUAUUAGUGGGGGACAACAUCUCGAAAGGGAUGCUAAUACCGCAUACGUCCUACGGGAGAAAGCAGGGGAUCUUCGGACCUUGCGCUAAUAGAUGAGCCUAAGUCAGAUUAGCUAGUUGGGGGGGUAAAGGCCUACCAAGGCGACGAUCUGUAGCGGGUCUGAGAGGAUGAUCCGCCACACUGGGACUGAGACACGGCCCAGACUCCUACGGGAGGCAGCAGUGGGGAAUAUUGGACAAUGGGGGGAACCCUGAUCCAGCCAUGCCGCGUGUGUGAAGAAGGCCUUAUGGUUGUAAAGCACUUUAAGCGAGGAGGAGGCUACUUUAGUUAAUACCUAGAGAUAGUGGACGUUACUCGCAGAAUAAGCACCGGCUAACUCUGUGCCAGCAGCCGCCGUAA
rnacentral:rRNA from 1 species